GUAGGGACCGAGCGUUGUCCGGAAUCAUUGGGCGUAAAGAGCGUGUAGGCGGCCAAUUAAGUCCUGCGUGAAAUCUCGGGGCUCAACCCCGAGCGGUCGUGGGAAACUGGUUGGCUAGAGUGCGGGAGAGGAGAGUGGAAUUCCUGGUGUAGCGGUGAAAUGCGUAGAUAUUGGGAGGAACACCGGUGGCGAAGGCGGCUACCUGGACCGGUUCUGACGCUGAUGCGCGAAAGCGUGGGUAGCAAACAGGAUUAGAUACCCUGGUAGUCCACGCUGUAAACGAUGGGUGCUCGGUGUCGCGGGUAUCGACCCCUGCGGUGCCUUAGCUAACGCGUUAAGCACCCCGCCUGGGGAGUACGGUCGCAAGGCUG
rnacentral:rRNA from 1 species